ACGGAAUCAGGUACGGGCUCUACUGGGUCUAGUACAGGGCUUGAAACCGGGGUAAUUUUAGGAGCCUUUCCCUCGCUGACGCACUCUUAGGUGCAAGUUCCACCUAGUAAGUAUAUCUACAGGUAUAUAAUUAACAAAAAAAAAAACAAUAUAAACAAUUGCAAAAAAAAAUCUUGUUUUAGGAGUCUAUGUCUGACUCGGCCAUUUUCUCGGGCGACGUGGAACGGACUUAUUCAGUGAUGAAGUGGGCGUGGUCUCGCUAUGGCCACCUCUCUGCUGUUGGAGCCCGGUUUUGGUGGCUCUUCUUGCCGGUGGCCGCUUCUUCGUCUUGGGAGCCUCGUCGAUGGUGGCGCCGCUGACAAGUGCACGGAAUUCAGGCACUGUGCGCCAACAAAUGGUUGAGAUAACUCUAAUAGAGUGUUCUUUUUGUUGUUUUAACCUCGCACGACUGCGUGUUUUAUCACAAGUGUAUGUGUGUGUGUAUGAUGGAUAUUAUUUGUUUUCGGCGAUUUGGUUUGCAAUAUAUUCUGUAUGUAAUAAAUUUGUGUUUUCUAAAACGCCCGUUCUCGAUUAAAUUUAAACUUUAUUUUUAUAAAGGCCUGAUGGACUGAAGGACUGAUGACUUGCGGCCGGCAUUGAAAAACUUCAACUCGCUUUUGAGCACGGCACACCCGCCGUUAACCGCUGAAAAAGUCGAACUCCUCUGUAUACAUUUGGGCAGUAACAUCAUAGGCGCCGAAUUUCGGCGCACGCAUACAUUUAAAGACGGCCACCGUUCUUGCUCAUCUGCACAGAUGAAUUUUUCUGGGCCCAAAUAAAGGCCAAGAACAUAUCGAAGGGCAUGCGAUUCACUCUCCCUACUCUGUACUGGCGUCGCUGACCGAAGAGGAACGCGCUGCCGCCGUUAACGCUUGGUGAGGAUCAAACGUUCCUGGAGAUCUUCUUACUCUUAGGCGUUGGUACCUAUGGAUCGGACGACGCGGCUCUUUAGGAAUUUCCGGGCGAACUUGGUAUUGAAGGCUUUACCAAAGCUGCUGAGUGCGAAGUUGCGCCACCAGACUUCGUGACUCGGCACCAGAUGGAAUUGUCGCGGUCGUUGAUCAUAGCGUUACCGACUCCGCUCGUUUGGGGUGUGUAGGUGUCCCUUGACCUGGUUUCGGAUUACAGCCAGACUUUCCUUUGCGUCUAGGUCAGAAAUGUCGUGAUCCACCAUGUCCACUGCUUCCGGGCCAGCUUGUAACUGGAACCAUUCAAGUAUAUGUGCUAUCCAAACACCACAAAGAACGGAGUCACCCCCGUUGCGCUGUGCCACUUCUACCUCUGGCAGGUACGCGUCCCAUUCUCUGUGAUCCUGGCCCAAGUAUGUUCUUAUCGCAGACAGUACCGUGCGACUCACGCGUUCGGCGGCGUUACUCGGAGGCGAGUAGACCGGGUACGCGAAUGCGUGUUGCCAAAUGCCUGGACCAUUGCAUUGAAUGAUUUUGAAAUAUAUUGCCGCCCAUUAUCCGAGUGAAUCACUUCCGGCACGCCAAAUUUAAAGAACACCUCGUGUACAAGGAAGUUGACGACUUCUGCCGCGGUGGCUUCCUUCAUAGGUAUUAAAAAGGUAAACUUUGAAAAGUGGUCCACGUCUACGAAUAUCCACGCAUGCCCUCGUUUCGACCGUGGAUAUUUCCCCAAGAAGUCGAUGUAUAUCUUCUAGAAUGCACGUAGUCCCUGACUUGUAUAGUCAUGUUGGGCGAAUAGAAUCGACGACGCAGCGCGUGCAGCGCUCCAUGAGCUGACGGCGCGUCCGUUGUUCCUUGACCGUCCUUGCGUUUGGGAUGUUCCGGAUCGCCUCCACUCUUCCCGAAUACAUGCGCAAUGUCCCACCAAUGAAAUCUCGGCGAAGUUCUUUAUGAAUCGGCGAUACCACCCCGUCGUACCUAGAAAGCUUCGUUGUUCCUUGACCGUCCUUGGGUUCGGGAUGUUCCGGAGUGCCUCCACUCUUCCCGUUGCGGAAACAAAAUUUGGACUUCGGCCACCAAUUCCAAGUAUUUCAGGUGCGUCGGUAAAUCUGCCGAUAUGGGUAAAUUGUCGAGAUAUACGAAUACGUUUGAUCUCAGACUUGCCGGGAUUACUAUGUCCAUGAUCUCACAUAAUUUUUGAUCGGCGUUGCAGAGCCCAAAUGGCAUGUGGCAGAACUGGUACAGCGGCCUCCCUGGCACAGUAAAUGCCGUAUACGCCCUGCUCCUCUCCUCCAUCUCGAUUUGCCAAAAAGUGAACUGUUCAAACUGUUAAAUUUCCUGGCGUCUAAACAAAACCUGUUCUUCCCAAGCCUCAUCAUGCCUAUCCUUCACGGGUUCGGCUCCGAUCAGCUUUAUACGAUGCUGCAACAGGUGAGUUUUCCCUAUGCCACCCGUUUCUAAUCGACUCUUCUGAUCGUUGUCCAGGCUCCACAUUUCCGGAUCUGUCACGCGGUCGUCGUCGUCUCGAUAAUAAGCUACCACUGGGUUCGUUACCGUUAGCUCAGAUGCCGCUGGAGCUACUUCGGACUUAAUGGGCGGGCCGAGCAACUCUGGGGCAAUCACGAAAGUCCGCAACAAGUCGAUUUCCAGGCAGAACAAUGCGGCCUAAAAUUUGGCGAUUGUCACCCACCGCUGUCCUUACCAUCGAUGCGUAUGGCUCCGCUUCCUAUCCCAGUUCCUCCACUUACUCCCGCCAACCUCGUCCCAGCAGACUGACAGGUUCCUGUGUCUAACAGAACGUUCUUUUGGAUCCAAGCGACCUACACGCGGAUCUAGGCUAGCCUCCCGUUUCACAGCUUCGAUGACCCGGUGCCUAUCUUUCCAAAAAUCCUAUUCCGGGCCGACAUGUAUACCCGUUUUAUACACGUUCUUCAUAUAGUAAGCCUCUUAAUGGUAUUCCUUAAUUUUUAAUCCUUAUAUAUAACCUUAACCUGGUCCUUAUGGUCUAUAUUCUUCUCCUCUACCAGUGUUAUUGUUUGUGGUAGAUGUUCCUCUCUUGUUUUUCGGCGAUCGCCGUCCCUAAACGUGUCUGUCCUGCUACUAUUGAGCUCCCUCUGGGGUUUCCCGGGCAAUUUUCGCAUUGGGCACAGAAUGUGUCCGGAUUUCCGCAUCUGUAGCAGAAUAUCUUUCUCUUCUUAGAUAGGCAGUAUCUAAAGACAUGGUCGAACUGCCUUCAGUUCCAGCACACUACUCGACAUCAUCUGCCUCGCAUGAAUGCCUCCUCCAGUUUUUUAGGUGGUGUUUCCGCACGAUGUGGUGGUACUUCAACCUUAUGAACUGUGGGCCUCUUUCCUUGUAAGUAACGCGACGGCUGCACGUAGGCUUCUGCGACCACUGUGCCACUACACUUCUAUGCAUUCAUGGCGCAGCUCAUCCACGGUUAGUACAACCAUGGCAUAGAUGUGUUUCGACAAACUCUCCUCAAGCCAUGCUUUAUAAUCUUUACCAGUUCACGGUCUCUUAGCGUGUGACGCAUGUGGUGAAUAUAGUCGUCCACCCCUUUGCUGGUCUGUUGCUCUCGCUGCGGUAGCUCCUGCAUCACGUCGUACUCCGUCUGAUAUCCCCAAAACCUGUUUAAGAGAGCGUGCCACAGUUGCAUCCAGCUAACCCUGGAAUGCCGCACGUGCAUCCAGUACCGCUCGCGGGCACGGCCGAUCAGGAGCAGGAAAACAACUCGCAGGACCUCCUUCCACGGGCAUUGAUACUGCCUCUGCAGGAACUCCAGGCGAAACACGAAGUCCUCAACAGAAUUCAUUGCGUCCUAGCCAUCGAACUUGACAUUCCACCGUUCAAGCUUUAGGUACGUCGCUUCUCGUACGUUGGCAUACGCUUCCUCCGGCUGAAAGUCAUCCGCUCUCUGGUCCUCCACUCGGAAAUGGCGAUUAUUCGGAUUCCGGUAGUUCCUCGGUGAGCAUCGGCGCAAUAUACUGGGCUGCUGGAUGAGUACUUCGCUCCCCGCGCGACCUAAUUGGGCGCCAUAAUGUUACGAAACUUCUUGUUUCUCGGUGGGCCACGCAGGCUGGCUUAUCGGCUUUUCUGGGUGUAGUCCCAUCCCUGGCCCGCAGUCGGCACAAUCGAUUACAACAAAGCUACACGUCUGUGGCAAAACAGACUUACACACCACUCUGCAAAACGAACAAAAAUUGAUAACAAUAAACAAUCGGAACUUCUAACAGCUGAACAACAUAAACAGCUGUGACGAUAAGUAAAUGUAACCAUCUAAGGUGAGAUGUUAAUAUAAAAUAACAAAGAAAUAAAAGAAAGGGGAGACAAUCAAUCCAAUAAAGUUGACCAAAAUCGUGGCAGACGUAAUAAUCUUUGGGCCAUUUCGCACUUUCGCGCUUUGUUCGCACUUUCGGAAAUUUCCUUAAUUGCGACUAGUCGUGAGUAUAUUAUGUAUUCAAUUUACAAAAAAAAAAUUAGAGUUAACAAUUCCAAAAAAAAAAUAUUUGGACACAAAUUGAUAACAAGAAACAAUCGGAACUUCUAACAGAUGAACAACAUAAACAGCUGUGACGAUAAGUAAAUGUAACCAUCUAAGGUGAGAUGUUAAUAUAAAAUAACAAAGAAAUAAAAGAAAGGGGAGACAAUCAAUCCAAUAAAGUUGACCAAAA